AGAUAAUCAAGAGGCUUUCAAAUAGUCAAGAGGUUUGGCGCUUAUAUUGACUACUAGUCCAUUUCUGUUUUCAGUGCUGGAGGAGACUGGUGACCCCCAAGGCAGAAAAGAAGACAGUUUCCUUCAACCACAGAAGUGCUUGCAUAAGAGCCUUAGACAAAAUGCAGAAGAAUGCAGAAGAACUACAGUCAUUGGAAGUAACUUUUCUUUCUCCUUCACUACUCAUCUAAAUGCAUUCACACUGUGGGUGCUCAAAUCUACUUCAUAUACUUACUAAUUACCUGAAGUUCUGCAGCAGAAAGGAGACCUUUGACAAUAGAGCAGCCCAUGGAAAGACAAGACUGACAAAGAAGGAUGAAAGGAAAAAGAAUCCAGUGAAGUGUAACUUUGCUACACGUCCUUUCCCUGGGAAGAUGAGAAGCUGCGUUUCAGCCUUUGUUUGCUUACCAAGUGCCUGCUCAUCAACUAACAGGACAGAACAUGUGCACAGUAGGUGCCCAACCCCAGAAGUGCCACAGCGUGUGCAGUGCAGAAGAGGUGAUGAGGUUCUUCUUCUCCUUCGUCUGGGUGCUUCAAACAGUGGAGCUAAUUCAGCACAGGCAGAGCAGCUGAACAUGACAUCCCUAAUGCACUGUGGCCUAGCAGGUUAAUAGUACAACAAAACUACAUUAUUUGUCCACCCACUUUUCCUGCACAUUAAAUGGGGAGAUAAUGAGUAAUUAGUUGUGGUCUGUUUGGAAAAAUGAGCUGUUUGUUCAGCAUUUUGAAAUCAUAAAUCAAUAUAUACUGCAAAUGUGAUGUGCUGCCUACAACUUCAUUCAACAGAGAGCAGCAUUGGACAGGAAAAAAUGUUGUCUCUCCAUGGCUCUUAAUGCUGCCCUCUGCAGAACCUGGUAUUGGGGGUGACUUCCGAGAAUUUGUUUUGAGAACAAAUGUGAUGGAAGAAGGCUUAUUCACCACCUUCUAUGGGCAAAGUGAGCAAAACCUAAUGAAACAAGAGGAAGAUAAAAAUGGUGAUCGCCUGGAUCAGUUUGACUUCCAUGGAGAUGACUAUUCAGUUAGCAAUCUGGUGACGCAAGUAUUUCCUUUGGCACUCCAAGGUUCUCUCCAGGCAUGUCAAACAGUAUUUUCAGACAAGCCUUUUAAACAAAUUUUGUCUCUUUAUGGGGCUCUUUCUUAGGGUUUCUUCAAAUACUGGCUUUAGAAUCCAAGGAAUUUUUGGAAGAAAUCCACUUCUCUAGCUGACACUGUUGGACCAAAUAAGCCCAUGCAUUCCCUGAGGUAGGUUACAGCAGCUUUCAGGGCUCCCUGAUUCAGUAGUUUCCUUCAGCCUUUUGAGAGGUACAGCAUUUCUGAGCUCUGUUCAGCCCUGCCACUACUCUGUAUUUCUGGUGGUCUCCUUCACCACUCCAGGGAUCUUCCCAGGGGUACUUUGAAAACAGGGAAGAUUUACCACUCAUAGGACUGCAGCUGGUAUCAAGAGGCUGCAGGGAAAAAAAAGAAAAAAAAAAAAAAGACAAAUAAUGUUCCCUGCAUUCACAUUUUGCCAGCACUGUUUAACUGUUUAUACAGAUGUAAAUAGUUCUACUCAAUAACUGACAAGUCCUAACAAAUCUGUGUAUCAGUAUUUCUGAGAUAUAGAAUACAAGAAGCUGUAAUUAGGUUUCAAUUUUCAGAAUUAACUCUGACUUUUUAUUUUCUGCUUAAAAUGGAAGCAUAACUCUCCAACUUAAGGGGUUAAAGCAGUCUUUAUAGUGAAUGUAGAGCAUAUACUGAUCUGUGUGAUUUUGUAAUUGUAAUUUUGAAUACAAUAAUGUUACCUUUUUUUUUCCUUUGGCUUGCAAUAGUGUAUGUGCUUGGAGGGAGGGUGACCAAGAUGGAAAUUCACUUAUAUGCAAUGCACCACACCUUGCCCAAAAUACAUGGAUGACUGUUACAAUAUCGUAGUUAUCCAUAACCGAGAAAGAAAGAGGGAGAGAGUGUUUUUUUGUUUGUUUGUUUUGUUUUGUUUUGUUUUGUUUUAAAUCAAGAUCAGGCAUUUUAUUUUCAAAAAUUCCUUGUGAGUUCAGAAGACACAUUUUUAUUUAUAGUACGUUUUAGCUUUGUCUUCUACACCAUGUGACCUACACUAAGGAGACACCAGCAAGCUUCACAGCAAAAUGGAAGGGAUAAAAAGAGGCUGGUUAUGCAGGAACAGCUGCUUGUUUUCAGCAGCAUCACUUGAGAGUUUUUCACAUUCUCCUUCUCCGCCUCUCCCCAAAUGUUCAGCCUGCUGUGUGCAAGCUGGGUGUUUACAGUUCAGGACUAUGGAGGAGGAGGAAAUAUUUUGCCUAUUGUUCAGUGACGUCAAUGGCUUCGCUCCCAGUCACUUGAGGGACGCUGGUGCUUAGCAAAUGUCAGUACACUGCUGCUACUGCAUGUGCCUUACAGCUUGCUUGCAGGAAUUUAAGGUCUCUCCUCCAAGAUAGAUCCAGUUGGUGGAUGAGGCAGGUGUGAAGGGCAAACAGCGAUAGCCACUGAAAGCUCUUUCUGCUGCUUUUUGCAUGGGAAAGCACUAGUGCUCUGUGAGGAUGACAGUCUGGAGUCUAAACAAGACAACCAGGUACCAGAUACUUCUGUUCAGGAUGUAUUCUGCCACUCUGUCCAAAACAAGAGGUUUACAUAUAGUCAAAAACAUCUCUGAAGG